UCAAGUUUUUUUAAAUGCCACUUUACUGCUGUCAACUCUUCAGAUCCAGCUCAGCUGUGCAAGUGAGCUUGCAGCUGUUCCUUCUCAAUAUUGUUACUACUAAGUACCAGUUAUCAGGCCAGACAGUCAUUCUUGAAUAAACCCAGUAAAGGCAGUAGCAAGGUUAGGACAGGUAUCAUUAGGAGCUUAAUUGGAUGUUUAGGUUGUAUUGGUUUUACUGAGAGCUGAUUUUGGUAGCAAUCCAUGAGAAGGAAAGAAGCCAGCUUGACUCUCAGAUCUAAGGAUGAGUUUACAGAACUGGCACUUACGAAAAAAAAUCACUUGCAAGCUGAGCACAUUUGACAUGGAAUCAGAGAAACAGCCACACCUUUGGCUUGUACAGUCCCUUUUCAGAGAGAUGAAUGCUGACUGCAGUUUGAGAGAGCCAACAGUAGAUGGUAGCAGAUCACAACUUCCAGAGCCAGUUUCUUAUUGAAAAGGCCCUUUGGAGAAGGCCUCUUGGGUGGGGCUUGCAUCAUGGCUUGUCAAGACAAUUGGUGCUUUGGCGCACCCCCUGCUUGGAAAAUGCUGCUGACCCUGUGCAGUGAGUCUUCAUUUGGUGGAGUCUUCAUCUGUUCUUACACUGAAGAGUAAAGAGCUGGGAUAAAGGUUACCCAGACUGCUGGGAAAGACCCCAAGAGGUCAAAAUUGGUGCUGGUAAUACUACGGUUAGUGAGACCCUUCUCUGUAGCUCCUGCUCCCUGUUUUUCCU